GAUGAAGAACGUAGCGAAAUGCGAUACUUGGUGUGAAUUGCAGAAUCCCGUGAACCAUCGAGUCUUUGAACGCAAGUUGCGCCCGAAGCCAUUAGGCCGAGGGCACGCCUGCCUGGGCGUCACACGUCGUUGCCCCCCCCAUCUACUCCUUCGGGAUUGCGGGGGCGGAUGAUGGCCUCCCGUGCGCCUCGCCGCGCGGUUGGCAUAAAUGCCAAGUCCUCGGCGACGCACGCCACGACAAUCGGUGGUUGCGAAACCUCGGUUGCCCGUCGUGUGCGGUCGUCGCGCAUCGAGGGCUCGAAAAAAUUGCCGAGUUCCGGCUCGGCUUUCAACGCGACCCCAGGUCAGGCGGGGUUACCAGCUGAAUUUAAGCAUAUCAAUAAGCGGAGGA
rnacentral:misc_RNA from 1 species